rnacentral:rRNA from 1 species
AACGCUAGCUACAGGCUUAACACAUGCAAGUCGAGGGGCAGCACAGUGUAGCAAUACAUGGGUGGCGACCGGCGCACGGGUGCGUAACGCGUAUCCAACCUUCCCGUUACUCAGGGAUAGCCUUCCGAAAGGGAGAUUAAUACCUGAUGGUGUUGAAAUUCCGCAUGUUAUUUCAACUAAAGAUUUAUCGGUAACGGAUGGGGAUGCGUGACAUUAGGUAGAUGGCGGGGUAACGGCCCACCAUGCCUACGAUGUCUAGGGGUUCUGAGAGGAAGGUCCCCCACACUGGAACUGAGACACGGUCCAGACUCCUACGGGAGGCAGCAGUGAGGAAUAUUGGUCAAUGGUCGGAAGACUGAACCAGCCAAGUAGCGUGAAGGAUGAAGGUUCUAUGGAUUGUAAACUUCUUUUAUACGGGAAUAAAACCUCCCACGUGUGGGAGCUUGUAUGUACCGUAUGAAUAAGCAUCGGCUAACUCCGUGCCAGCAGCCGCGGUAAUACGGAGGAUGCGAGCGUUAUCCGGAUUUAUUGGGUUUAAAGGGAGCGUAGACGGGGGGUUAAGUCAGUUGUGAAAGGCUGCGGCUCAACCGCAGCACUGCAGUUGAUACUGGUUUCCUUGAGUUCGGUUGAGGUGUAUGGAAUUCGUGGUGUAGCGGUGAAAUGCUUAGAUAUCACGAAGAACUCCGAUUG